rnacentral:tRNA from 1 species
GGAUGUGGCUCAGCUUGGUAGAGCGCUCGGUUCGGGACCGAGAGGCCGUGGGUUCAAAUCCCGCCAUCC